rnacentral:rRNA from 1 species
UACGAAGGGGGGCUAGCGUUGCUCGGAAUCACUGGGCGUAAAGGGUGCGUAGGCGGGUCUUUUAAGUCAGGGGGUGAAAUCCUGGAGCUCAACUCCAGAACUGCCUUUGAUACUGAGGAUCUUGAGUUCGGGGAGAGGUGAGUGGAACUGCGAGUGUAGAGGUGAAAUUCGUAGAUAUUCGCAAGAACACCAGUGGCGAAGGCGGCUCACUGGCCCGAUACUGCGCUGAGGCACGAAAGCGUGGGGGAGCAAACAGG